GGAAAAAGUCGAUAACUGUCAUAUACAUUACUUUCUCAUCACGUUGGGCUUAUUAUAGUAGUAGCAUUCACGACUACUUUCGUAAGGUUAUCAGAGAUAGAAAUGGGAUCCCGAUUCUUGACUUUAUGUGGGUUCACUGUCGGUCAAUUGGUUCAUCUGUUCUUUUUAACGGUAAUGGGACAGUUCGUGGUCAACUCUAACGAAGAAAUCUUUCAAAGAAUAUACGAGUCCCAAUGGUACAAUUGUCCGUUGUGUAGAGUACAAUCAUUAUAUGUACUGGUGUUGCAAAAAUGUUUGAACCCACCCACAAUAACAGAUGGAUGAUUGAUACCUUUGAAUUUGGACAGUUUCGUACAAGUCUUGAAAGCAUCCUUUUCGUAUUAUACAGUGUUUAGAUCUAUGUAAAUUGAAGAGAGAAUAAUUACAAACUUUGA